GGUGUGCUGUACUUUAUUUUUAUUAAAUUUUAUAUAAAAUUAAUAUUUUUUUAUUUUAAAAAAUAAAAAUAUUAGUUUUUAUAUAAUUUAUAUAGUGUAGAGUUACUAUGUUAUAUAAAAUAGGAAAAACUUCAAAAAUACUCUUGUGAUUUCGUACUUUUUUAUUUUAAUACUUUGUGAUUUAAAAUGUAUCAAGUUAGUACCAUAUGGUUUUGCACUUUCUCACUUUAGUACCCUAUGAUUAAAGUGUAUCAAGUUAGUACCCUUUGAUUUUAUUUUUGUAUCAAGUUAGUACCCUAUGAUUUUUAAACCAUAGGGUACUAAAGUGAGAGAGUGCAAAACUAUAAGAUACAAACUUGAUACAUUUUAAACCACAGAGUAUUAAAAUAAAAAAGUACGAAAUCACAGGGUACUAACUUGAUACACUUUAAACCUAUGGUACUAAAGUGAGAAAAAGUGAAAUCACCAGGAGAGUAUUUGAAGUUUUUCUUAAAAAAUAUAGAGGAUUUAAUACUUCCAAUUUUUUGAUCCUUAAAUAAAAAAUUGUACGAUUGGAAUUAUUAUGAUCUUUCCUAAGAUUGAGUAGUACAUUUAGACUUGAGUGAUCCCUACAAGAUAAUAAUAUUAAUCUAGAGUUAGAAAUAAUUAAAGAGGUUGAUCUAAGGAUCAAAAAGUCGAAGGUAUCAGAUCCUCUAUAUACUUCCGAUAGUAUAAUAGUACCACUCACAUAUAUAUAUAUAUAUAUAUAUAUAUAUAUAUAUAUAUAGUUGAGCUAGAAUACUAUCUGUAGCAAACGGGCUCCGUUGCCACCCAUUUGUUUUCGAUGAUGGAACCUAAAAAUCGAUAAUCGGCACUGUUGAAUAUGAUCUAUACCACUUGAAGUGUUUAGAAAUCAAAUUUCAUACAUUUUCGAUAUUAUUCUCUUAUCCACCGAGUGGACACAAAAAUGAACGGCUGAAAAUGAAUAUUCGUUAAAAAAUGAUGAUAGGAGUCUUGUAGUCAAGAUCAAAAGUAUAGAUCUUGUUUUAAAUAGUUUAAAAAAUUUUCUAACAAAAAUUCAAUUAAUUUGGAUAUCUUUACACCGUUAAACAAGAAAACGUCUCAUAUCGACUAUUAAAAUUACAAAUUUUAAAACCCUUUGAUCAUUAGGUAAAUGAUGUUGAAAAGAUUUGAAAUUUGAUUCCUAAACAUUUUAAGUGGUAUAGAUCAUGUUCAAUGAUGCCGAUCGUCGAUUUGGAGGCUCUGUCAUCGAAAAUAAAAGGGUGGCAACAGAGCCUGUUUGCUAUCGAUAGUAUUCUAGCUCAACUCUCUCUCUCUCUCUAUAUAUAUAUUUUCAUACUUUUUUGCAAAACUAAAUAAUCUCUAAAUUUUCGCCAUCUUAUGA
rnacentral:lncRNA from 1 species